rnacentral:tRNA from 1 species
GACUUUGUAGCUCAGUUGGUAGAGCAAUUGACUCUUAAUCAAUGGGUCGAGGGUUCGAGUCCCUCCAAGGUCA